rnacentral:lncRNA from 1 species
CCGAUUUCGGGAAAUAUAUAAACUUAGCUAUUACAAAUUGUUAUGAAAACUUUAUCUAACCCCCCUAAGUACGUAAAUGCAUUUUUGAACUCUCUCAUUGUUUAAGGAAUCUCGCUAUGCAGUAAAUGUGAACUCCCCAGCUCCACUUUGGCUUACUUUUGAGUUUAUUGAUACUUCUGAUCACCUCCUCGAAACUUGGUGCUCGUAAACCUCUCUCCCUGAUCGAGAUGGCUCCGUUAUUUGGCUUGCCAUUCCCUCGUCA